rnacentral:rRNA from 1 species
UACGUAGGUGGCAAGCGUUGUCCGGAAUUAUUGGGCGUAAAGCGCGCGCAGGCGGUCCUUUAAGUCUGAUGUGAAAGCCCACGGCUCAACCGUGGAGGGUCAUUGGAAACUGGGGACUUGAGUGCAGAAGAGGAAAGCGGAAUUCCACGUGUAGCGGUGAAAUGCGUAGAGAUGUGGAGGAACACCAGUGGCGAAGGCGGCUUCUGGUCGAUAACUGACGCUGAGCGCGAAGCGUGGGAGCAAACAGG